rnacentral:rRNA from 1 species
GCGACGGGUGAGUAACACGUAAGUAACCUGCCUUUAAGACGAGGAUAACAAUUGGAAACAGUUGCUAAGACUGGAUAGGAAAUUAGAAGGCAUCUUUUAAUUUUUAAAAGACCUUUUUCGAAAGGUAUACUUAAAGAGGGGCUUGCGGCACAUUAGUUAGUUGGUAGGGUAAAAGCCUACCAAGACCAUGAUGUGUAGCUGGACUGAGAGGUUGAACAGCCACAUUGGGACUGAGACACGGCCCAAACUCCUACGGGAGGCAGCAGUAGGGAAUUUUCGGCAAUGGAGGAAACUCUGACCGAGCAACGCCGCGUGAACGAUGAAGUAUUUCGGUAUGUAAAGUUCUUUUAUUGGAGAAGAAAAAAUAGUGGAAAAACUAUCUUGACGAUAUUCAAUGAAUAAGCCCCGGCAAACUAUGUGCCAGCAGCCGCGGUAAUACAUAGGGGGCGAGCGUUAUCCGGAAUUAUUGGGCGUAAAGGGUGCGUAGGCGGUUUGGUAAGUCUAUAGUUUAAUUUCAGUGCUUAACACUGUUCUGCUAUAGAAACUAUCAGACUAGAGUGAGAUAGAGGCAAGUGGAAUUCCAUGUGUAGCGGUAAAAUGCGUAAAUAUAUGGAGGAACACCAGAGGCGUAGGCGGCUUGCUGGGUCUUUACUGACGCUGAGGCACGAAAGCGUGGGGAGCAAACAGGAUUAGAUACCCUGGUAGUCCACGCCGUAAACGAUGAGUACUAAGUGUCGGGGAAACUCGGUACUGAAGUUAACACAUUAAGUACUCCGCCUGAGUAGUACGUACGCAAGUAUGAAACUUAAAGGRAUUGACGGGACUCCGCACAAGCGGUGGAUCAUGUUUGUUUAAUUCGAAGAUACACGAAAAACCUUACCAGGUCUUGACAUACUCUGCAAAGCUAUAGCAAUAUAGUGGAGGUUAUCAGGGAUACAGGUGGUGCAUGGUUGUCGUCAGCUCGUGUCGUGAGAUGUUAGGUUAAGUCCUAAAACGAGCGCAACCCUUGUCACUAGUUGCCAGCAUGUUAUGAUGGGCACUUUAGUGAGACUGCCAAUGAAAAAUUGGAGGAAGGUGAGGAUCACGUCAAAUCAUCAUGCCCCUUAUGAUCUGGGCUACAAACGUGAUACAAUGGCUGUUACAAAGAGUAGCUAAAACGCGAGUUUAUAGCCAAUCUCAUAAAAGCAGUCUCAGUUCGGAUUGAAGUCUGCAACUCGACUUCAUGAAGUUGGAAUCGCUAGUAAUCGCGAAUCAGCAUGUCGCGGUGAAUACGUUCUCGGGGUUUGUACACACCGCCCGUCAAACCACGAAAGUUGGUAAUACUCGAAAACGGUAGCCUAACUCU